rnacentral:rRNA from 1 species
GACGAACGCUGGCGGCGUGCUUAACACAUGCAAGUCGAACGGAAAGGCCCAGCUUGCUGGGUACUCGAUUGGUGAACGGGUGAGUAACACGUGGGUUAUCUGCCUUCCACUUUGGGAUAAGCCCUGAUAACUGGUUCUAUUAUCGGACAAGAUCAACUGCGGCAUGGUGGUUGGCCGAAUGCUUUUGCGUUUUGGGUUGGGCUCGCGGCUUGUCAGCUUGUUGGUGUGGUAUUGGCUUACCGAGUCGACGACCCGUAGCCGACCUGAUCGGGGGAGCGGCCACGCUAGGACUGAGACGCGGCCCAGACUCGAACGGUAGGCAGCGGUGCGGAAUAGUGCACAAGGGGCGCAGCCCUAAUGCAGCGAAGCCGCGUGAGGGGUGACGGCCUUCGGGUUGUAUUCCUCUUUCACCAGGGACGAGGCGUUAGUGACGGUACCUGGAGAAGAAGCUCCGGCCAACUACGUG